GUUUCAUGGGGAUAUAAGACAGAAAGAGUCGAUUGGCCAUGUGCAUAAGAGAAUUGGGCUGAAUACUACUUUGACUGUUGUUUAUGUGUUCCCGUGUGAGAACCUGGGAUUUCUUCCCUAAUGGUGUCAUCAUCAGCUUAAAUUUCCAUUUUUAAAGAUAAUAACAUCCUCAUGCAUUCUGCCUGGGUGUUUAGCUUUGCUUUGAGGCCUUCCUGAUGAUGAGCCCCAGCUUGGGAUGGUGUUUUGUAGUUUUCCUUCUAAGGAAACUUCCAUCUGCAGAAAAACACAAAUAACUAAACGUGUUGAUGUGACCUUUUCCAAAAUGACUUAUCUGCUGGUUCCUGGUGGAGGCUGGAGAAUGAAGACAAAACUUGGGACCGAGUGUCCCUAGUCAAGAAGGAAAGCAAGUGCUUUGAAAGCUGCUUUUCUCCAUGGUUUAGAAAAGAAAAUACCCAGAUUUUUCCACCUGGGAAGUAUGGAUAUGAAUUUGUUACUGAGCACAGAAAGGUUAUAAAUAUAUCCAGACUGGACAGAAGAUUAUGUGAGCUGCUCAAAAUGGAAGAUGAAAAUGAUGUUGCCAAGAGAGCAAUUAUCUUGCAGCCUGAGAAUUCACAAAAGGUGUUACUAGGUAAGAGUAUGGCAAACUAUUAUGUGUCCUUUUCUCUCCAAAACCACUAACUAGGAUGAUCUUCCGUAUGCGUUGGUUUCACAUCCUUCCUCUGCUAUUGGUCAUUAAAGAAAUGCUUUUUCAGGGA